UGCACCUUAUACUGUAUAUUACUAUUUUAUAGUAUUUCUGUUAUCAUUUUCUAUUCAUAGUUAAAAUUUAAGAAUGAUAUAAUGGUACUUCACGACUGUUCGCCUAUUAUCGGUCUUGCGACUUUUUAUUGUUGUCAGCCGUAAAUAAAUAAGAACUUCUUCGCUUCGCUUUUAUCUAAAAUGAAGUGAGAUUAAGAACUCAGUUGUAGAAAAGUCACCACAACAAUUGGUUAUUUUGUUGUAAAAGUCAUUGUUAAAACAUUAAAAAUGUCGAAAUUGUUUUGUCAACUUUGGAUACUAUUGCUUUUUGCCUCGACACAUGGAGUGCAUAUUGAUACGGGACGUAACACGCACAUGAUUCAUUGGAAUCAUGACCAGAACGGUAGAGAUUGGGAAGGAUUAUGCAAAACCGGAAAAAGUCAAUCCCCCAUUGAAUUGACGAAAAGAUUCGUGAGUUUAGAACGAGAUUAAUUUGAAUUAAAGCAAAAUAAUUUCCUUUUAUAGAGCGAGCAUAAACGAUUACCAAGACUAAAUUUUCGAAAUUACUUUGAACAUUUCGGGGAACCAUCAGUAUUGAAAAAUACUGGGUAUUCAUGCAGCUUUAAAAUUGGGAAAACAAGAUUUUCUGAAAAUUUAGAAGUAAGUGGUGCUGAUCUUAAAGGUACAUACAUAGCGGAAGAGCUUCAUUUCCAC